rnacentral:rRNA from 1 species
AUUGAACGCUGGCGGCAGGCCUAACACAUGCAAGUCGAGCGGAAGAAGGGAGCUUGCUCCUGGAUUCAGCGGCGGACGGGUGAGUAAUGCCUAGGAAUCUGCCUGGUAGUGGGGGAUAACGUCCGGAAAUGGGCGCUAAUACCGCAUACGUCUUGAGGGAGAAAGCGGGGGAUCUUCGGACCUCACGCUAUCAGAUGAGCCUAGGUCGGAUUAGCUAGUUGGUGGGGUAAAGGCCUACCAAGGCGACGAUCCGUAACUGGUCUGAGAGGAUGAUCAGUCACACUGGAACUGAGACACGGUCCAGACUCCUACGGGAGGCAGCAGUGGGGAAUAUUGGACAAUGGGCGAAAGCCUGAUCCAGCCAUGCCGCGUGUAUGAAGAAGGUCUUCGGAUUGUAAAGCACUUUAAGUUGGGAGGAAGGGAAGUAAGUUAAUACCUUGCUGUUUUGACGUUACCAACAGAAUAAGCACCGGCUAACUUCGUG